GGAAGGGCUGUUGGUGGUGGAAUGACAGGUCCUCCAAUGGCUGAUCAUUCUAUGAGGGGCCGUCCUGGAGCUAUGUCUUCUGAUGUACUAACAAAUGGUCGAAAUAUGAAUCUUGCUAAUCAGCUCCCAGUUGAUUCAAUGCCUAGGCCUGGACGUGAAACAGUUCCUUUACCUCUGGAUGCAUCCAGCACUUUAUAUGUUGAAGGACUUCCUCCUGACAGCACAAGGAGGGAAGUAGCUCGUAUCCUUUAUGAUGCUUAAGAAUUAUUGCAUAUUGCUUUCCAAUCUUAUUGUUUAACUCAAUAGUUUUUCCAUCGCUCCUCCUUUACAUAACUCUUAAGAUAUCUUUCGUCCUUUUGUGGGAUACAAAGCAGUGAGGCUUGUGAGCAAAGAGUCCAAACACGUAUGUGGGGGUGGAUUAUUGUAAACAAUUACUUUUCUUAGUCAUUCUGUUUUUCUUGAUCACUCUGACUUGAGAUUGUCGUUGUGCUACUUGGUUCGACUCUUGGGAAGUUUAUAAUCUUUCUUCACACUAAUAUUCCGGUUUGUCCAUAAUGCAGCGUGGCGGGGAUCCUCUUAUUCUUUGUUUUGUGGAUUUUGAAAAUCCAGCCUGUGCAGCAACUGCUCUGAGUGCCUUGCAAGGUGAUUGCUUUUUAUUGUCAUCAACCUUGGUGACUAUCAGUGUCAAAGAAAGCUUAAUUCUUUCUUUCUGUUUUUAUUUGUUUCCUUUAUAGCUUCACAAGUGUUAUUUUCUAUCAUACCUUAUUCAAUCAUGUAAAGGGUAAAUUUAUGUUAAAAUUCUUCCAUGCAUAGUAGGUGUAAAGAGGUUGAGGCAGUUCAUAAAAAUGUUAUAGAUGGCUUCUUGUGAUUUAAUAUUGGAGUUCAUAAUAUCUCUACACUACAUAUCGUGUAGAACUAGCUGGAUUGCUCAUUAUUUUCCCAUGUUUGUUGUUUUUGAAAAGCUGGAAGAUGCUGACAUUUGUGUUGCUGGAAGAUGCUGACAUUCAUGUAAUUCCAUGCAUAGUGUUUUAGUAUGUGUAAAGACGUUGAGGCAGUUGAAAAAAAAAAUGUUAUAGAUGGUUUCUUGUGAUUUAAGAUUGAAGUCCAUAAUAUCUCUACACUCCCGAUUGUGUAGAACUAGUAUUGCUCAUUAUAUUUUCCCGUGCUCGCGGUUUUUGAAACGCUGGAAGAUGCUUACAUUUGUGUUGCGUUUGCAGGUUAUGAAAUGGAUGAACAUGCUCCUGAUUCUAAUUACUUGCGGCUGCAGUUUUCUCGGUUCCCUGGUCCUAGGUCUGGACCUGGCCGUAACAAGAGGUGAUAGGCAUUAGGUGAUGAGAAAUAUCUGUUUUUGAUGUAAUCAAGAUUGCAUUUGCUUUUAAUACAUUCCAUAUAUAUAUAUAUAUAUAUAUAUAUAUAUGUAUUGCUCAGGCUUGGGCACACACCAACUGUAAGCACUUCUGAUGCACAUUGUUGUUUCGAGGUAGUGAAUCAGAAACAGUUUUAUAGUUGUGCAAUUAAACAGAGAUCUGAUUUUGCACGUCCAUGGUCUACAAAAUUUGUAAGUGUUUUUAGAAGUGGCAAGUUUCUCAGGCACAAACCCUUUAAAAACUAGUGUGUUUUUUUAGCAUGGAUUUGCAGGCUUCUGUUACAUAUAUCAUAUGGUAAGUGAUUUCCGCUCGCUUUUUCUCCUUGUACAACUCCUUUUUUCCUAGUUUAAGGGUUGGAUAAAUCAAAUCAAAGGAGAAUAAGUGGAAAGAAACAUAAGGUGAAUGCAGGAGGAGAAAAUGGGAACGUGCCGAUGACUACCGAUCAAACUCGUCUUUUCUUGUAACUUCCAACUGCAUGGAGAAAAGCAAGACACUGCGUGAUGAGAAUGGGCAUUGCAUGGUGUCAUGUCUUGUGGUGUUAGAAAUUUGAUCCGAGUCCUUCCCAUUUGGACUACAGUUAAGGACAGGCUCUACUAUGUCCUCCCAAUGCUAAGCACUAGGUAGUGGGCUGCCGACUAGUCUAUGUGCCACUGUACAUAUCACAUGGGCUUUCAACCCAUAAUCCUAUCCUGCUAGAGCUUCCCCCUACCCUUCUUGAAAUUAGUAUACCGUCAGGUAUGUUGCUGUCUCUCAUAUCACGUGACUAAUGAUUCGUUUGGAAUUACUUCUUUCAGAAACACUUAUACUACAAGUGUUUUUAUUGUAGACACGUUAAAUCUUUACAAACAAUCCAAGUGUUCAUUGAAAAAUAUUUGAAAGUGCUUCUUGAAAAAGCAUUUGGCAAGUGCUCCUCUAAAGAUAGUUUAUACGAGUCAAAAGAAUUUCUAAUAUUUUAUCUUUAUGCCAAUCGCAACAGAACACAUUUAGCUUUUCCAGAAUCAAUCCUAAACUAGUUCUAAGCAAAGAAAGGGCAAUAUAACAUAAGGACAACGAAGAAUCUCUCUAACAUUAAAGGUUAUGUUUGUUCGGUCACUAGACUCAAACAAAAGAGAAAAGUAGAAGUGGGCAAUAAAUUGGUUUUCGAUUACCAUCAAAUUGGCACAACAUUCGGCAUUGUUUCGCAAAAGACUGCUUUUUUUUCUUAGCAUUAGUUUUACACACACUCUAGUGUGUGGUAAAAACAAGCUAGGGUUUGGUUGGAGAACAAGUCUGAGCAGUUACAUGCCAUGUGGGCUGGAGGGUUUCGUUUGGUGCCAUUACUCUUUUUUCUUGUUCUAUCAUCCUUGUCGAACUGGAAGAGAAAAAGGAGGGGAAAAGGGAGUUUAGGGCAAAAAGGAUACUGAGUUUAUAAACCAGGAAAUGUCUAAGCAAUUUGUUUGUGCCAACGUGACUGUUAUCUAAAUAUAGCGUACUUGUGGUAUAAAAGAAAAAGGCAAAAAGGGUAACUGUAAAUAGUUGUUGUACUUAAGUGUAAAUUGUCCCACAACUUGUCCAGGGACCAGUGCAUAUAAGUUGUAGCUGCAAGUGCAAGGAGCAACCUCUGGAUUAGAUAGACGGAUGGACUUGGUUUGGUAUGAUUCCAAGUCGUCGUUGAUGUUUCUUCUUCUUUGUGGCCCAGCCACCCAGGACUAUAGUCCUUAUUUGGUAGGUAUUUAUUGCAAGGCUAACUAUAGGAUUGGAGAUAGACAAAGGGAGAUGGGACAUGGAGAAUGGUUUGCCAAGUUUGUUUAGAAUGGAUCGGGAUCAAUGCCCGUUGGAUCCCUAGUAAUUGAAUAUUAGUUAAAGAUUCAACGUCUAUGAAUCUCGGUCUAUGUUAUGAACUGUUUUUACAAUUUUCGUUCAUUGUGUAUCACGUAAUAUGCAUAAUGUUAGACAAUCCACUUGUUUUAUUUGAGACAACUGUAUUUGAUGCACUUCCUAAUUUCUGUUUUCUGACUUGCUUCAAUCUACAUUCUCUUGAUAUUUUUUUUUCCAUUUUACUCGGUUUUAUGAUAGUGAGAACAUUCAACAUGGCCUCUUCUUCCUCAAGUUGCUUCUUUGUGAUACGUAUAUCUGUUUUUGUACUAAAACAUGUAUCCUACUUGCUUUUAAAGGAAAUGCCUUCGUACACUUUUGGAGAAGCGAGUACUUUUGGUGGAGCUGGAAUGGGAAAGGCUGUUGGUGGUGAAAUGACAGGUCCUCCAAUGGCAUGAUCAUUCUAUGAGGGCCAGUCCUGGAGCUAUGUCUUCUGAUCUAUUAACAUAUGGUCGAAAUAUGAAUCUUAUUAAUCAGCUCCCAGUUGAUGCAAUGCCUAGGCGUGGACGUGAAACAGUUCCUUUACCUCUGGAUGCAUCCAGCACUUUAUAUGUUGAAGGACUUCCUCCUGACAGCACAAUGAGGGAAGUAGCUCGUAUCCUUUAUGAUCC
rnacentral:lncRNA from 1 species